CUAAGCUGCCAGUGUGGAAUUAUGGAAAUGAGAUGCUUCCCAAAUUUCACAUUCAAUAGCCAUAAAAGUUUGUAGCUGGAGGAUAUACAGGAUAAGACUCUACUUGAGCAGCCAGCCCGGCUGCCCGCAUCAGUCCUCAGCAACCCGCCAGAGGCGCCCAGCAUGAGUGAGAUCGCGCACAUCCAGACCGGCCAGUGCGGCAACCAGAUCGGGGCCAAGUUCUGGGAAGUCAUCAGUGAUGAGCAUGGCAUAGACCCCAGUGGCAACUAUGUGGGCGACUCUGACUUGCAGCUGGAGUGGAUCAGCGUCUACUACAAUGAGGCAUCUUCUCACAAAUAUGUGCCUCGGGCCAUCCUGGUGGACCUGGAGCCUGGAACCAUGGACAGCGCCUGCCCUGGAGCCUUCGGACAUCUUUUCAGGCCUGACAACUUCAUCUUCGGUCAGAGUGGGGCCGGCAACAACUGGGCCAAGGGCCACUACACGGAGUGGAGCUGGUGGAUUCGGCCCUAGACGUCGUGCGGAAGGAGUGUGAAAACUGCGACUGCCUGCAGGGCUUCCAGCUGACCAACUCGCUGGGCGGGGGCAUAGGCUCUGGCAUGGGCACGCUGCUCAUCAGCAAGGUACACCAGGAGUACCCCGACCGCAUCAUGAACACCUUCAGCGUGGUGCCCUAGUCCAAAGUGUCCGACACAGUGGUGGAGCCUUACAACGCCACGCUGCCCAUCCACCAGCUGGUGGAGAACACGGAUGAGACCUACUGCAUCGACAACAAGACGCUCUACGACAUCGGCUUCCGCACCCUCAAGCUGGCCACGCCCACCUACGGGGACUUCAAUCACCUGGUGUCGGCCACCAUGAGCUGGGUGACCACCUCGCUGCGCUUCCCAGGGCAGCUCAACGCCGAUCUGUGCAAGCUGGCGGUGAACAUGGUGCCCUUCCCCCACCUGCACUUCUUCAUGCCCAACUUUGCGCCCCUACGGCCCGGGGCAGCCAGUAGUACCGGGCCCUGACCGUGCCCGAGCUCACUCAGCAGAUAUUUGAUGCCAAGAACAUGAUAGCCGCCUGCUACCCACGCCACGGCCUCUACCUGACCAUCGCCACUGUGUUCCGGGGCCGCAUGUCCAUGAAGGAGGUGGACGAGCAGAUGCUGGCCAUCCAGAGCAAGAACAGCAGCUACUUCGUGGAGUGGAUCCCCAACAAUGUGUGCGACAUCCCACCCCACGGCCUCAAGAUGUCCUCCACCUUCAUUGGCAACAGCACUGCCAUCCAGGAGCUGUUCAAGCUCAUCUUUGAGCAGUUCACAGCCAUGUUCCAGCUCAAGGCCUUCCUGCACUGGUACACGGGCGGGGGCAUGGACGAGAUGGAGUUCACUGAGGCCGAGAGCAACAUGAACGACCUGGUGUCCGAGUACCAGCAGUACUAGGACUCCACGGCCAAGGAGGAGGGCGAGAGGCAUGAAGACUACGACGAGGAGUCAGAGGCCCAGGGCCCGAAGUGAAGGUGCUUGCAGCUGGCAUGAGGGGCAGGUGGUGGCCAGGGCCAAAGCCAGCAGUACCUGACCCCCAGAGCCAUCUUGCUGCCACCCCUGCUAUCCCCCCACCCUCGGGCUCCCGUGCCGCCUUCUGCAGUAUUUACAGCCUCCUCCUCCCCACCCAGGCCACCUGUGUGCUGCUCCUGUCUGUUUUAUUGCAGCUCCUGGCCUGAUGUUUUACGGUUUUGUUUAUUACUGGUUUGUGUUUAUAUUUUUGGGGAUACUUAAUAAAUCUAUUGCUGUCAGACAC